CGGGGCGGGGCCGGUUUGGGAGGGGUCUUGGGCGGUGGCCGCCGUUGGGGGCGGCCGCGGAGUCUGCAGCCCGGCCCCUGACAGGUAGUGGGGCGCGACGGGGGCGGCCCACCCCCAAACCUGCUCUCCUCUCCCUUUCAGCCGCCAACAGUCCGAGACCCUCGCUUCCAGGGCCAGGGAGUGCAGGUCCACAACUAAGCAAGACCAGUUUUUUGAGGAAGUGACAACUUUACAGUUUGUGGCCACAAUGAGCAAUCAGCUCACACUUAAUGAGCACCCAGUCUUCAAGCCACUGGGGAUAUAAAAAGAUAGGAAAGCAGAGGUCCAGGGAUGAGACUUGCCCUCACCACACAAGUUCAAAGGAGUUCAGGGAAGAGAAAGAGCACAGUGGGCUGGAGUGGUUAGAGAACAGUUUACGAAAAAGGUGUAUACCUUGAUCUGGGCUUUGAAGCUCAGUCGAUUUUUAAAUUAAUGGAGAGGAAAAAGAAGAGCGAGCUAGGUGGAUGUUUAGUGGUGAGGAAGAUGAUAAAAUUGGGUUUGAACUAUAUAGAAUUUUCAGGACCAGGAUAAGAAUAAAGCAGAAUUUUAGAAGCAUUAAUUUGAUGGCCAUGUGCAAGAUUGGAAUAGGAAACAGGGAAGAGGAAGGAGACAGGUUAAAAGGGUCCUUCAGUGAUCUAAAUGUGAGAGCUUGUGCUAAGGAGGUAACAGUGGGAGUGAAAAAGAAGGAAGGAAUGGGGGAGAGGCUUUACUAAGGAAAACUUAGUUGAAUUUGGGAUUGACUGGGUACGGGGA